rnacentral:rRNA from 1 species
GAUGAACGCUAGCGGCAGGCCUAAUACAUGCAAGUCGAGGGGCAGCAGGAAUAGCAAUAUUUGCUGGCGACCGGCGCACGGGUGCGUAACACGUAUACAAUCUGCCUUCUACAGGGGGAUAGCCUUUCGAAAGAGAGAUUAAUACCCCAUAACACAAGAAAUAGCAUUAUUUUUUGUUGAAAGUUCGGACGUUAGAAGAUGAGUAUGCGGGUGAUUAGCUAGUUGGUGAGGUAACGGCUCACCAAGGCAACGAUCACUAGGGGAUCUGAGAGGACUACCCCCCACACUGGUACUGAGACACGGACCAGACUCCUACGGGAGGCAGCAGUAAGGAAUAUUGGACAAUGGAGGCAACUCUGAUCCAGCCAUGCCGCGUGCAGGAUGAAGGCCCUAUGGGUCGUAAACUGCUUUUGUACGAGAGAAAACCUAUUUACGUGUAGAUAGUUGAUAGUAUCGUAAGAUUAAGGAUCGGCUAACUUCGUGCCAGCAGCCGCGGUAAAAC